AUGAUGCAGGAAAAAAAAAAAAAACUUUUACACUUCCAGACAGGAUGGAAAGCUUCAGUUGUGCACCUGCUAUUGUGGAAUGCUCUGGAGAUGAUGACAGACAGCAUUAUCCUGAGACAGAGGUAUGCAUAUAUGGGGUGUCCCUGCAGGAGACAGAAGAAUUUGAGUGUUGGGUUGAACCAGCCAGCGGUGUUUGGACGGUAGGAC
ensembl:lncRNA